UAAGGAAUAUUGGACAAUGGUCGCAAGACUGAUCCAGCCAUGCCGCGUGCAGGAAGACGGCCCUAUGGGUUGUAAACUGCUUUUGUACCAGAGAAAACCUAUCUACGUGUAGAUAGCUGAUAGUAUGGUAAGAAUAAGCAUCGGCUAACUUCGUGCCAGCAGCCGCGGUAAGACGAAGGAUGCAAGCGUUAUCCGGAUUCAUUGGGUUUAAAGGGUGCGUAGGCGGGCUUGUAAGUCAGUGGUGAAAUCUCUCAGCUUAACUGAGAAACUGCCAUUGAUACUGCAGGCCUAGAGUAUAGAUGACGUUGGCGGAAUAUGACAUGUAGUGGUGAAAUACUUAGAUAUGUCAUAGAACACCGAUCGCGAAGGCAGCUAACGAAACUAUAACUGACGCUGAGGCACGAAAGUGCGGGGA
rnacentral:rRNA from 1 species